rnacentral:rRNA from 1 species
GAGUUUUAUAUUUAGUUUAAUUUUAUAGCUAUAUAAAAAUUUAUAAUAAAAUAAAUUAAAAUAUUAUAUUGGGGUGAUAGAAAAAUAAAAUGAACUUUUUUUAAAAAAUUAACAAUAAUAAAUGAUUAAAUGAUCCAUUAUUAAUGAUUAUAAGAAAAAAUUACCUUAGGGAUAACAGCGUAAUAUUUUUUUUUAGAACAAAUAAAAAAAAAAGAUUGC